UACCAGCACCCCGAGUGGUCGGGACGUUUAUUGGGCCUAAAGCAUCCGUAGCCGGUUCUACAAGUCUUCCGUUAAAUCCACCUGCUUAACAGAUGGGCUGCGGAAGAUACUAUGGAGCUAGGAGGCGGGAGAGGCAAGCGGUACUCGAUGGGUAGGGGUAAAAUCCGUUGAUCCAUUGAAGACCACCAGUGGCGAAGGCGGCUUGCCAGAACGCGCUCGACGGUGAGGGAUGAAAGCUGGGGGAGCAACGG
rnacentral:rRNA from 1 species